CUUACCCUAACAGCAGCCACAACUGAGACCCACUCUGUCGUCGAUCGUACUACGUAAAAAAAAAAAAAAGUUGAACAAGACUGUGUUUAGUGUUGGUGUUUGAGAAUCUUACUGCGUCCUGGAAGAAAAUAAAUACACAAGACUCAAGAAACAGUGGAAUAGUAAGAGAGUACAAUAAUAACAACAAUAAUACCCACGUUGGUAGUCUGUCUGUGUGUCUCAUCCGGAGUCCACGCGGGUCUUGUUGUGAGUGAGACGCCGUUCGUAUAGGAUCUCUACGGAUUGAUUAUAUUAUCAUAUCAGCGUUAAUAAAUCCACCAACUCUUAUUCCUCCUUUGGUAUUUCCUUCACAACUGGAAAUACUCAAUUGGGGGUCCACAGAACACAGGGAUUCGGUUCAUUCUUCAUCUGGAAUAACACGGGGCACGAGUGGCUCUCACACCAGCCUACUGAAUGUUGAA